AUUCAGCUGACGAGUUCUAAAUAGGACGAAACACAUGACCAGGAU
rfam:Schistosoma curassoni strain Dakar, Senegal genome assembly, scaffold: SCTD_scaffold0003413